rnacentral:rRNA from 1 species
GACGAACGCUGGCGGCGUGCCUAACACAUGCAAGUCGAACGGAACUGUUUUGAAAGAUUUCUUCGGAAUGAAUUUGAUUUAGUUUAGUGGCGGACGGGUGAGUAACGCGUGAGUAACCUGCCUUCAAGAGGGGAAUAACAUUCUGAAAAGAAUGCUAAUACCGCAUGACAUAUCGGAACCACAUGGUUUUGAUAUCAAAGAUUUUAUCGCUUGAAGAUGGACUCGCGUCCGAUUAGUUAGUUGGUGAGGUAACGGCUCACCAAGACCGCGAUCGGUAGCCGGACUGAGAGGUUGAACGGCCACAUUGGGACUGAGACACGGCCCAGACUCCUACGGGAGGCAGCAGUGGGGGAUAAUGUGCAAUGGGGGCAACCCUGACGCAGCAACGCCGCGUGAAGGAUGAAGGUUUUCGGAUUGUAAACUUCUUUUAUUAAGGACGAAAAAUGACGGUACUUAAUGAAUAAGCUCCGGCUAACUACGUG